UUUACUUCUAACAAGUAAGAAGGUCGAAGUGCGGGCGGAGCCGAAAAUUAAAUAUCCGGCGCAAGUAUUAAAUAUAUAUUUUUCACCUUUCCGAAC